rnacentral:rRNA from 1 species
AUUGACCGCUGGCGGCAGGCCUAACACAUGCAAGUCGAACGAGUGGCGGACGGGUGCGUAAUGUCUGGGAAACUGCCUGAUGGAGGGGGAUAACUACUGGAAACGGUAGCUAAUACCGCAUACCAUCAGAUGUGCCCAGAUGGGCUUAGCUUGUGGGUGGGUUAACGGCGCACCAAGGCGACGAUCCCUAGCUGUUAGGAGAGGAUGACCAGACACACUGGAAAUGAGACACGGUCCAGACUCCUAUGGGAGGCAGCAGUGGGGAAUAGUGCACAAGUGGCGCAAGCCUGAUGCAGCCAUGCCGCGUGUAUGAAGAAGGCCUUCGGGUUGUAAAGUACUGUCAGCGGGGAGGCGUUACCCGCAGAAGAAGCACCGGCUAACUCCGUGCCAGCAGCCGCGGUAAUUC